AUUGAACGCUGGCGGCAGGCCUAACACAUGCAAGUCGAACGGUAACAGGAAGCAGCUUGCUGCUUCGCUGACGAGUGGCGGACGGGUGAGUAAUGUCUGGGAAACUGCCUGAUGGAGGGGGAUAACUACUGGAAACGGUAGCUAAUACCGCAUAACGUCGCAAGACCAAAGAGGGGGACCUUCGGGCCUCUUGCCCUCGGAUGUGCCCAGAUGGGAUUAGCUAGUAGGUGGGGUAACGGCUCACCUAGGCGACGAUCCCUAGCUGGUCUGAGAGGAUGACCAGCCACACUGGAACUGAGACACGGUCCAGACUCCUACGGGAGGCAGCAGUGGGGAAUAUUGCACAAUGGGCGCAAGCCUGAUGCAGCCAAGCCGCGUGUAUGAAGAAGGCCUUCGGGUUGUAAAGUACUUUCAGCGGGGAGGAAGGCGAUAAGGUUACUAACCUUGUCGAUUGACGUUACCCGCAGAAGAAGCACCGGCUAACUCCGUGCCAGCCGCCGCAGUAA
rnacentral:rRNA from 1 species